rnacentral:lncRNA from 1 species
CUGUUUUGCUACUCGGGGGUCGUUCCCCCCGCUGCGUGUCUUUGUGUUCCGCUUUGUUGGUUGUUGUAAAGGCCAUGCUAAUCAGUCUCUGGGUACCGUGAGUCAGAGCUUGCCCUUCUUCCUUAUCUCUUUGCUCUUUGUGGGGAGCCGUGCUUAGCAGGAUUGGGUGAGGUUUGGCAGAGGCAGAGAGUUGUCUCGCCCCUUGAAUCAGGGCCUGUGACUCUUCGUCUGGCUGGCUGGGUGGCAGUCGGGGCUUGUUUGUUUUGGUUUUGUGGUGGUAAUGUGUCAGGGAGAGGAGGAUCCAAUGCGAGCUCCACUGCGGAAAAAGCAUGAUCAGUGCUGCGGGACAAACGGAGUCCGCCUCCGCCUCUGCGCCUGUUCAGACAAACCCUAGAAUAAGGAUCCUCCAUUCUUCUCCCCUUUCUUUUUCUUCUUCCUCCUCCUCCUUUUAUUGUUAUUGUGCUUUUUGCUGACUGACCGGGGGUUGAUGAUUGGAUUGCUGUCACCGCCGCCUUUUAUGUUUAUCCGUGAGUGGAGAUUAGAGUGAGGCCUUUGUAUUGGUAUUAAACUUGGAGAAAUGUUAAAUUGACCCCAACAACUCAAAACUAUCAGCACAAUAUUGACUUUGCAAAUUGUAGGAUAUGCUCAAUUCACUAUCUAACUCAAUUCAAAUAUUAAACUCUAUGUUCAAGAUUUGUAUCUACAAUACCAAGCAUGAAAGGUGGAAGUAGAAUAAUAGUGUUAUCAAGUUCAAAUCCAAUAACAAUAAAAUCACAUGUUUCAAUAAAAGUUUUGUAAGAGAAAUGACACAUAUUUACUAGCAAAACCCAAUACAAGCAUGUCAAGAAAGUUAUAAGCUCUUGAACUAGUAUUGACCUAAAUUGGACAAGGUAUCAAUUCUAUAGAGUAAAUAAAAAU